rnacentral:rRNA from 1 species
ACGUAGGGUGCGAGCGUUAAUCGGAAUAACUGGGCGUAAAGAGUGCGUAGGCGGUAAAGCGAGCUUGAUGUGAAAUGCCUGGGCUUAACCUGGGGACGGCAUUAAGGACAGUUUAACUAGAGUCUGUCAGAGGGGGGUAGAAUUCCACGUGUAGCAGUGAAAUGCGUAGAGAUGUGGAGGAAUACCGAUGGCGAAGGCAGCCCCCUGGGAUAAGACUGACGCUGAGGCACGAAAGCGUGGGGAGCAAACAG